rnacentral:rRNA from 1 species
UACGUAGGGCGCGAGCGUUGUCCGGAUUUAUUGGGCGUAAAGAGCUCGUAGGCGGCUUGUUGCGUUCGGCUGUGAAAACCCGCAGCUCAACUGUGGGCUUGCAGCCGAUACGGGCAGGCUUGAGUUCGGUAGGGGAGACUGGAAUUCCUGGUGUAGCGGUGAAAUGCGCAGAUAUCAGGAAGAACACCAAUGGCGAAAGCAGCUUUCUGGGACGGUACUGACGCUGAGACGCGAAAGCGUGGGGAGCGAACAGG